GGUUGUGGCUCAGUGGAAAAGCACUUGUCUUGCAUAUGUGAGGUACUGGGUUCGAUUCUCAGCACCG
rnacentral:tRNA from 1 species